ACAAUACAAAACGGGAGCCGAGCGGCUGAGAGGAAAUGAAUUGACAUUUCGACCGUAAACCUGAUUUGGGUAAUGCCAACGGAGGGACUUUGCAGCGUAAGUUUG
rnacentral:ncRNA from 2 species